AUGGUGGAGAAGAUAGAGGUGAAAAGAGAAGGAGAGAUGAUGAUUUUAGUGGACCUGGUAGGAGGGGUGGUGGCCCAAUGCAGUCGAAUUCGAGGAAUGGGGGAAGGUUUGGAAGUGAAUAUUCGGGUGGAAGAGGUGCGGGACGAGGUGGAAUGCAGUCGAAUUCAAGAAACGAAGGGAGGUUUGGAAAUGACAGGGGGAGUAGAUAUGAGGGUGGAAGAGGUGAUGGUGGUCGAGAUCGAAAGGAGUCCUCCUCAAGGGGAGGAAGAUUUGGAAGUGAUGUAAGGAGUGGAAGUGAGGGUAGAAGAAGUGGAGGCCGAGAUCGUAUGGAGUCAUUUUCGAAGGGAGGAAGGUUUGGAAGUGAUAAUGGGAGAGAAAGUGAAGGUAGAAGAAGUGGAGGCCAGGAUCGGACAGAGUCGCUUCCAAGGAAGGGAGGGAGGUUUGGAAGUGAAAUGGCAAGUUCGAGUGACAAUAGGGGUAAAAGCAGGAUUGGUAGUGGAU
rnacentral:misc_RNA from 1 species